rnacentral:rRNA from 1 species
GCCAUGCUAGUUGUACGAGUUUAGACUCGUAGCAGAUAGCUCAGUAACACGUGGCCAAACUACCCUAUGGAUCCGGAUAACCUCGGGAAACUGAGGCUAAUCCGGAAUACGACUCUCAGCCUGGAAGUGGCGAGAGUCAGAAACGCUCCGGCGCCAUAGGAUGUGGCUGCGGCCGAUUAGGUAGACGGUGGGGUAACGGCCCACCGUGCCCAUAAUCGGUACGGGUUGUGAGAGCAAGAGCCCGGAGACGGUAUCUGGGACAAGAUACCGGGCCCUACGGGGCGCAGCAGGCGCGAAACCUUUACACUGCACGAAAGUGCGAUAAGGGGACUCCAAGUGCGAGGGCAUAUAGUCCUCGCUUUUCACCACCGUAAGGAGGUGGUAGAAUAAGUGCUGGGCAAGACCGGUGCCAGCCGCCGCGGUAAUACCGGCAGCACGAGUGAUGACCGCUCUUAUUGGGCCUAAAGCGUCCGUAGCUGGCCACGCAAGUCUAUCGGGAAAUCCGCGCGCUCAACGCGCGGGCGUCCGGUGGAAACUGCGUGGCUUGGGACCGGAAGAUCCAGAGGGUACGUCUGGGGUAGGAGUGAAAUCCCGUAAUCCUGGACGGACCACCGGUGGCGAAAGCGCUCUGGAAAGACGGAUCCGACGGUGAGGGACGAAAGCUCGGGUCACGAACCGGAUUAGAUACCCGGGUAGUCCGAGCUGUAAACGAUGUCUGCUAGGUGUGCCACAGGCUACGAGCCUGUGGUGUGCCGUAGGGAAGCCGUGAAGCAGACCGCCUGGGAGUACGUCCGCAGGAUGAACUUAA